rnacentral:rRNA from 1 species
GACGAACGCUGGCGGCGUGCUUAACACAUGCAAGUCGAACGAAGAGCGAUGGAAGCUUGCUUCUAUCAAUCUUAGUGGCGAACGGGUGAGUAACGCGUAAUCAACCUGCCCUUCAGAGGGGGACAACAGUUGGAAACGACUGCUAAUACCGCAUACGAUCUAAUCUCGGCAUCGAGGAUAGAUGAAAGGUGGCCUCUACAUGUAAGCUAUCACUGAAGGAGGGGAUUGCGUCUGAUUAGCUAGCUGGAGGGGUAACGGCCCACCAAGGCGAUGAUCAGUAGCCGGUCUGAGAGGAUGAACGGCCACAUUGGGACUGAGACACGGCCCAGACUCCUACGGGAGGCAGCAGUGGGGAAUCUUCCGCAAUGGACGAAAGUCUGACGGAGCAACGCCGCGUGAGUGAUGGCGGCCUUCGGGUUGUAAAGCUCUGUUAAUCGGGACGAAAGGCCUUCUUGCGAAUAGUGAGAAGGAUUGACGGUACCGGAAUAGAAAGCCACGGCUAACUACGUG